AUUGAACGCUGGCGGCAGGCUUAACACAUGCAAGUCGAGCGGGGUGAUGGUGCUUGCACUAUCACUUAGCGGCGGACGGGUGAGUAAUGCUUAGGAAUCUGCCUAUUAGUGGGGGACAACAUCUCGAAAGGAAUGCUAAUACCGCAUACGUCCUACGGGAGAAAGCAGGGGAUCACUUGUGACCUUGCGCUAAUAGAUGAGCCUAAGUCGGAUUAGCUAGUUGGUGGGGUAAAGGCCUACCAAGGCGACGAUCUGUAGCGGGUCUGAGAGGAUGAUCCGCCACACUGGGACUGAGACACGGCCCAGACUCCUACGAGAGGCAGCAGUGGGGAAUAUUGGACAAUGGGGGGAACCCUGAUCCAGCCAUGCCGCGUGUGUGAAGAAGGCCUUAUGGUUGUAAAGCACUUUAAGCGAGGAGGAGGCUCCUUUGGUUAAUACCCAAGAUGAGUGGACGUUACUCGCAGAAUAAGCACCGGCUAACUCUGUGCCAGCAGCCGCGGUAA
rnacentral:rRNA from 1 species